rnacentral:rRNA from 1 species
CGACGACUCUGGUAUUGAUUGGUGCUUGCAUCAUGAUUUACAUUUGAGUGAGUGGCGAACUGGUGAGUAACACGUGGGAAACCUGCCCAGAAGCGGGGGAUAACACCUGGAAACAGAUGCUAAUACCGCAUAACAACUUGGACCGCAUGGUCCGAGUUUGAAAGAUGGCUUCGGCUAUCACUUUUGGAUGGUCCCGCGGCGUAUUAGCUAGAUGGUGGGGUAACGGCUCACCAUGGCAAUGAUACGUAGCCGACCUGAGAGGGUAAUCGGCCACAUUGGGACUGAGACACGGCCCAAACUCCUACGGGAGGCAGCAGUAGGGAAUCUUCCACAAUGGACGAAAGUCUGAUGGAGCAACGCCGCGUGAGUGAAGAAGGGUUUCGGCUCGUAAAACUCUGUUGUUAAAGAAGAACAUAUCUGAGAGUAACUGUUCAGGUAUUGACGGUAUUUAACCAGAAAGCCACGGCUAACUACGUGCCAGCAGCCGCGGUAAUACGUAGGUGGCAAGCGUUGUCCGGAUUUAUUGGGCGUAAAGCGAGCGCAGGCGGUUUUUUAAGUCUGAUGUGAAAGCCUUCGGCUCAACCGAAGAAGUGCAUCGGAAACUGGGAAACUUGAGUGCAGAAGAGGACAGUGGAACUCCAUGUGUAGCGGUGAAAUGCGUAGAUAUAUGGAAG